rnacentral:rRNA from 1 species
CCUACGGGAGGCAGCAGUGAGGAAUAUUGGUCAAUGGGCUUACGCCUGAACCAGCCAAGUCGCGUGAGGGAAGACUGCCCUAUGGGUUGUAAACCUCUUUUGUCAGGGAGCAACGCCGGCUACGUGUAGCCGGACUGAGAGUACCUGAAGAAAAAGCAUCGGCAAACCCCGUGCCAGCAGCCGCGGUAAUACGGGGUAUGCGAGCGUUAUCCGGAUUUAUUGGGUUAAGAGGGUGCGUAGGCGGAAUGCCAAGUCAGCGGUAAAACCGCGGGGCUAAAGCUCGCUGCGCCGUUGAAACUGGCGUUCUUGAGUGGGCGAGAAGUAUGCGGAAUGCGUGGUGUAGCGGUGAAAUGCAUAGAUAUCGAGAGGAACACUCGUGGCGAAGGCGGGUUCCUGGACAUUAACUGACGCUGAGGCACGAAGGCCAGGGGAGCGAAAGGGAUUAGAUACCCCUGUAGUC